AGACCUGUGAUAAGUACAAAGCGAACUAUUCUUUCCGAUUUUACUAAGGAAUACCGUGUGCUUGUCACUUUUUGCGGCAUAUGUAUAUUUUUGGAGGCGCCUUCUUUUUGGAUGGU